CAGCCGUAACUUUUCGGUACGAUCUCGGAUCGGGGCGAUUUUUAUACAAAAAUUGAUCUACAGAAAAAGUUACACAUGAAUUUCAACCGCUUCGCCGUUUUCGGCGAAAUUAGAUUUGCCAAAUUCGGCUUGGAAGAUGGAGUUUCGGGCCUCCGAAGUUUGGAACGUUAGGACGCCUAACUCUGUUUUGCAGGAUGUAUGCAUGUAUCUUGUGAUCAGUA
rnacentral:lncRNA from 1 species